CCAAAUUUGAUUUUUUGAGAUAAACAUCCUCUUAUUCUCUUUUGCCAGCUGUAUUUAAGGAUGAUAUACAUCCUUGAAAUAUAGGGGGUUCUACAAAAGAAAGGCAAGUACCAUACCUUUCCAUUGAAUCGUCAAAUUCCAGACUGGUUGUUGGCCUUUUCUACUAUUUGCAGAAUAUAACAGUAGAUGGCUUUACUGUGUUCCCCACUCCCAGCUAAAAUAACCUCUUAAUGUCUUUCUUACAGUAUUGCAAGUCAUUGUGUUAGUAGCAUUCAACAAUGGGCACUAACUCUUGUGUGUGGCCAAAAAGGCAACAGAAAAAGUGGAAAUGUGAAGAUAUCGUAAGAGAUGCAAAAGUAUGAGGAGGUGAAGAACAUGUGAACCAUGUGGGAGACCUUGUUCCAAGGCGAAUGGUUGGUGAAGACUGUAGGUCAUAAGGAUCCAACAGGAUGACUCGCCAGGUGGUCACUACAUCUUCAAGAGUUUGAUAUUACCCUAGUGUACAGAAGUGGAAGAAAACACCAAGAUGCCGACUGUCUGUUAAGAAACCCUGUGCAAGACCAUCAAGACUUUGAUGAAGAUAGUAACUGUCUCGCUGCACUCCAGAAUCUCUCUGCUGAGCAGGAGGAGGACGCCAAGGUAUCUCAAAUUAUGCUUGCCUUAAGUCUGUCAGAGGAUGUGCAAGGACAAUUUAAGGUAGUUAAUGGAUUGCUUUGCAAGAAAAACUUUGAUCCAUUUGGAAAGAGGUGGCUACCAAUGAUUCCUAAAAAAUGCGCUUAGAUGUUCUAUAGAAAUUCCAUGACACACCUGAGGCCGGACAUUUAGGAUUUAUUAAGACAUACGAUACUACCACAAUUUUUUUCUGGCCAGGUUUAUUUAGGAGUGUCCGUCACUAUGUGUCACACUGUCGAGAGUGCCAGAGGAGAAAGGCAGUUCCUCAGAAACCACCUGACCGACUCAUACCAAUUCCACCAGCCAAAGUGCCUUUCUAGCGUGUUGGGAUUGACCUCCUCGGACGAUUUCCAAUGUCUACUAGUGGCAAUAGAUGGAUUAUUGUUUACACUGAUUAUCUGACGCGCUAUGCCAUUACAAAAGUCGUAAAAACAGCCAAAGCAUUCGAGUUAGCCUAAUUUAUUGUAGAAGACAUUGUAUUAAAACACAGUGCCCCAAGGUCAUUAAUUACGGAUCGAGGGAACGUUUUCCAAUCGAUUCUUGUGACAGAGAUAAACUGUCGGUGCAAAAUUACUCAUCACAUGACGACUACUUACCAUCCGCAAACUAACGGGCUUACUGAAUGCCUUAGUAAGACCUUGGCCAAAAUGCUAUCAGUGUUGAGCAGAGCAACUGGGAUGAGGUGCUACCUUUCGUGACAUUUGCCUACAACACCGCCAAAUGAGGCACGACAAGAUUUACGCCAUUUUUCCUGGUACAUGGGCGUGAGGCGACGACGAUGAUGGACGCUGUGUUUCCGUUGCGUCCUGAUGACGUGGACGACGACUACAUCGGCCCGGUGUUAACCAGAGCUGAGGAAGCUCAGCAGUGAGCUCGACUCCACACACUGCAGGCUCAAGAAAAUGAUCACCGAAGAUAUGACGCAAGCCACCACCCUGUUGUUUACCAGUCUGGCGACCUUGUCUGGAUCUUCACUCCUGUUCGGAAGGUUGGUCUCUCUGAGAAGCUCCUCAGGUGCUACUUUGGACUUUAUACGGUUGUAAGAUGGUUGUUUGAUGUUACUUAUGAAGUUGCAGAUUUCGACCCCGACACAAGACGACGAAAGAUAAGAGAUACGGUCCACAUCCUUCGAAUGAAGCCCUAAGAGGAUCCUGCAACCCAUGGUAAAUUCGAAGCUCCAGCGACAGGCAGCAAGUGGAAAGGUGGUGAAGAAUGUAGCGGCAAGGGAAAUUAUAAGAAGAUCACCGUGAAGGCGAAUGUCAGUCAUCGGGAGUCGGAGUAUGCAGGACUGAUGACUCGUUCCCAGACUAGGAGAACAUAACACCGAAACGCUUUUCUCUUGAGGAGGGAGCAGUGUUGCAGUAGAAGCUGAGGAGCACAGUCGCCAUAGUGUAGUGGCUAUGAUGCUAGAGUGUUCAAUGAAGGGUUGUGAGUUCAAAAACUCACCUGAACUGUAAAAUUUUAAUAUCUAUAUCCGGUUCGAGUACAUUCUAGAAGUAUCCACAAAUGGCAAGAAUCACUGUACUGGAAAGUUCUGUAGCUGUAUAUAGAUACUGUAUGUGUUCUGGCCGGAGGCAGUUCACUCCGCGCUCUUGUAUGUGCAAGUGCUGAAUAAACCUUCGUUAAGUGAA